rnacentral:rRNA from 1 species
UACGUAGGGUGCAAGCGUUGUCCGGAAUUAUUGGGCGUAAAGAGCUCGUAGGCGGUCUGUCACGUCGGCUGUGAAAACCCGGGGCUCAACCCCGGGCCUGCAGUCGAUACGGGCAGACUAGAGUGCGGUAGGGGAGACUGGAAUUCCUGGUGUAGCGGUGAAAUGCGCAGAUAUCAGGAGGAACACCGGUGGCGAAGGCGGCAUCCUGGACCGGCAUUGACGCUGAGGCGCGAAAGCCAGGGGAGCAAACGGG